rnacentral:rRNA from 1 species
GAUGAAGGCCUUAGGGUUGUAAAGCUCUUUCACCGGUGAAGAUAAUGACGGUAGCCGGAGAAGAAGCCCCGGCUAACUUCGUGCCAGCAGCCGCGGUAAUACGAAGGGGGCUAGCGUUGUUCGGAAUUACUGGGCGUAAAGCGCACGUAGGCGGACAUUUAAGUCAGGGGUGAAAUCCCAGAGCUCAACUCUGGAACUGCCUUUGAUACUGGGUGUCUUGAGUAUGGAAGAGGUAAGUGGAAUUCCGAGUGUAGAGGUGAAAUGCGUAGAGAUCCGGAGGAACCCCAGAGGCGAAGGCGGCGUCCUGGCCCAUUUCUGACGUUCAGACAUGACAGCAUGGGGAGCGAACGGGAUUAGAAACCCCGGUAGUCCAUGCCGUAAACGAUGUCGACUAGGCGCUGGGCGGGUAAUACCGCGCGGUGCCGCAGCUAACGCGAUAAGUCGACCGCCUGGGGACUACGACCGCAAGGUUA